rfam:Candidatus Buchananbacteria bacterium RIFCSPLOWO2_01_FTLL_46_12 rifcsplowo2_01_scaffold_32957, whole genome shotgun sequence.
GCGCCCAUAGCUCAAAGGUUAGAGCUUUCGGCUUAUAUCCGAAGGAUCCUGGUUCGAGUCCAGGUGGGCGUA